rnacentral:rRNA from 1 species
GUGCCAGCCGCUGCGGUAAUACGGAGGGUGCAAGCGUUAAUCGGAAUUACUGGGCGUAAAGCGCACGCAGGCGGUCUGACAAGUCGGAUGUGAAAUCCCCGGGCUCAACCCGGGAACUGCAUUCGAAACUGUCAGGCUGGAGUCUCGUAGAGGGGGGGUAGAAUUCCAGGUGUAGCGGUGAAAUGCGUAGAGAUCUGGAGGAAUACCGGUGGCGAAGCGGCCCCCUGGACGAAGACUGACGCUCAGGUGCGAAAGCGU